GGGGAGUAACUAUUGGAAACGAUAGCUAAUACCGCAUAAUAGUAGAUGUUGCAUGACAUUUGCUUAAAAGGUGCAAUUGCAUCACUACCAGAUGGACCUGCGUUGUAUUAGCUAGUUGGUGGGGUAACGGCUCACCAAGGCGACGAUACAUAGCCGACCUGAGAGGGUGAUCGGCCACACUGGGACUGAGACACGGCCCAG
rnacentral:rRNA from 1 species